rnacentral:lncRNA from 1 species
AAUGCAGGGUGGGUUCCUGUCUCUCACUAUCUGCUUCUGCUUGUCCCCAGAGCCUCCCUUCACUCGCUUCCUCUUCAUUUUUGUUACAUAAUUUUGGGAUCCUGGACAAUUGGCAGUGACUUCAGCCACCCACGUGGUGUCCCAGUCUCUUUCAGGUGGAGCAGUGGGUGUGUCAGUAAAAAGAAAGCUGCAUUGUGGGAAGGAAGAUGGAUAGUUCUGGACUGCAAGGUAAAAGAUUCACAACCUGUGUAUUUCACCGCAGUCGAGAUCGCUCAACACCAUCGAAGCC